rnacentral:siRNA from 1 species
UGAUCCAAUCUUGAUGUGCUUUUG